GUAGGUGAACCUGCGGAAGGAUCAUUAACACGUAUCCAACGUUAAACCCCCCUGUGAACCUUCAGUGUGUCUCUCCUGCCUCGUUGAACGCCCAGCAAUCCCUGGUAAAUCAUUGCCGAACAGUUUUGAUUCAGGGACCUCUGGUAGAGGCGGCUAGAGCGCGAUGCAAGUGGCCUGGCAUUCCUCUGCUUGUUAGUGUCUGAAAGUGUCACUAGCUCUGUACGGAUGGCGCAGUAACGAUCGCUAGAGGCCGACACGGCCGGCGACCGGGUCACUGGGACUAGAUCCCCCUAAUCACCUUUGCAUGAAAACGGGCCUGCGCUUAAUUGUGCGGCCACCAAACUCGAACAACUGUUAACAAUGGAUAUCUUGGUUCUC
rnacentral:misc_RNA from 1 species